rnacentral:rRNA from 1 species
AACGGGGAGGUAGUGACGAAAAAUAACAAUACGGGACUCUUAUGAGGCCCCGUAAUUGGAAUGAGAACAAUCUAAAUCCUUUAACGAGGAUCUAUUGGAGGGCAAGUCUGGUGCCAGCAGCCGCGGUAAUUCCAGCUCCAAUAGCGUAUAUUAAAGUUGUUGUGGUUAAAAAGCUCGUAGUUGGAUCUCAGUUCUAGUCUAGUGCGGUCCACUUGCCAGUGGCUCACUGCACUGACUGAACACUAUUAUCGAGCCUGUCUAUGGUGCUCUUAAUCGGGUGUCAUAGGCGAUCGAUACGUUUACUUUGAAAAAAUUAGAGUGCUCAAAGCAGGCAUGUACUUGCCCGAAUAAUGUUGCAUGGAAUAAUGGAAUAGGACCUCGGUUCUAUUUUGUUGGUCUUCGGAAUUGCCCGAGGUAAUGAUUAAGAGGGACAGACGGGGGCAUUCGUA